GAGACAGAGACACAGGCAGACAGAGGCAGAAACCCUGUGAGGAGGUGGACGGACCUAGCCGCCGCACCGGGCUCCCUGUCGCCGGCCCGGGCUCCCUGUCGCCGGCCCGGGCUCCCUGUCGCCGGCCCUGGCCCCACGGCCACCCCAGAGCAACAGAGACCACGAUUCACAGAUUUUUACACAAAUCUCAAGACCAACAUGCCUUAGGACCGACAAAGAAGAGUAGUCUGCAGCCUCCAGCGUUGCCCACCUGCCCAGCCUGCAGCAUCAAUAGCAGGCAUAAAGGUUAUACAACACUGGAAGCUUCAAUAAUGACAAUUCCAUGGGAAAUGUUGGUGCCAAGUGCAAACUUUGCUUUGGUGUAAGUGGGGGGAAGCUUUCGAAGUGAAAUAUAUGAAUUUCUCCAUUGAACAUCACGUCCUUUGUCUCCAGCAGCUAAGGUCAAAAAUGCCUCAAAUCUUAUGGCUGCAAGAGGUAUAAAAAAGGUAAGUGCUCAACCACUGUUGCUAAAGCAAUGGUUUCCUUACAGGAAAGGUUACCUUGACUAGAAAGUCUAUUGUGUGACAAGAUCACAGAGAUCAACUGAUCACUUCAACAACCAACACCACACAACGAACUUGUAUGCUUAUGUCUCACCUGCCCUAUGGAUCCCGUGGUGGUUUGCAGUUUCUCUGUGCAUUUUGACAUCAACAAGGUUGAUGAAAAGUAUGUGUCAAGGUGACCCUAACUUCUGCUUUGACUAAUUUGACUUUAGAAUUUGUCACUUUGGAGGAGGGAAAAAGGGAAUAUGCUAUUAACCUUUUUGGAAAGAACCGUACCUCAAUUAAGUAAAAUUAUUUUCUAGAUUAAACUGUUACGACCUCUUCCUAUAGUAUCAAAUAUUAUCUUAGGCCAAAUCUGUAAAAAAGUACUUAAUAUAUGGACCUAAAAUAAAUUGUUCAAG
rnacentral:lncRNA from 1 species